GACGAACGCUGGCGGCGUGCCUAACACAUGCAAGUCGAGGGAGAAAGGGGUAGCAUUAUCCCGAGUACACCGGCGCAAGGGUGGGUAACACGUAGGCAACCUACCUUCAGAACGGGAAUAACUUCGAGAAAUCGAGGCUAAUACCCGAUAAUGCAGCGGCACCGCAUGGUGACAGUUGUUAAAAGUCGCAAGACGUCUGAAGAUGGGCCUGCGUCCCAUUAGGUAGUUGGCGGGGUAAUGGCCCACCAAGCCGACGAUGGGUAGCUGGUCUGAGAGGACGACCAGCCACACUGGAACUGAGACACGGUCCAGACUCCUACGGGAGGCAGCAGUGAGGAAUAUUGCGCAAUGCCCGCAAGGGUGACGCAGCGACGCCGCGUGGAGGAUGAAGGCCCUAUGGGUCGUAAACUCCUUUUGUGGAGGAAGAAUGUUUCGCUAUAGGCGAACGUGACGGUACUCCAUGAAUAAGCACCGGCUAACUACGUGCCAGCAGCCGCGGUAA
rnacentral:rRNA from 1 species